ensembl:snRNA U6 U6 spliceosomal RNA
GUACAUUUUGCACUCAGCACAUAUGCUAAACUUGGAACGAUACAGAGACUAUUAGCAUGGCCCCCAUGAAAGGAUGACACAUUUAUGAAGCAUUGCAUUAAAUAAAU